CUCAAAUUUGAAAGCUGGCUCCUUCGGGGUCCGCAUUGUAAUUUGCAGAGGAUGCUUCGGGAGCGGUCCCCAUCUAAGUGCCCUGGAACGGGACGUCAUAGAGGGUGAGAAUCCCGUAUGGGAUGGGGUGUCCGCGCCCGUGUGAAGCUCCUUCGACGAGUCGAGUUGUUUGGGAAUGCAGCUCUAAAUGGGUGGUAAAUUUCAUCUAAAGCUAAAUAUUGGCCGGAGACCGAUAGCGCACAAGUAGAGUGAUCGAAAGAUGAAAAGCACUUUGAAAAGAGAGUUAAAAAGCACGUGAAAUUGUUGAAAGGGAAGCGCUUGCGACCAGACUCGCUCGCGGGGUUCAGCCGGCAUUCGUGCCGGUGUACUUCCCCGCGGGCGGGCCAGCGUCGGUUUGGGCGGUCGGUCAAAGGCCCUCGGAAGGUAACGCCCCUAGGGGCGUCUUAUAGCCGAGGGUGCAAUGCGACCUGCCUAGACCGAGGAACGCGCUUCGGCUCGGACGCUGGCAUAAUGGUCGUAAGCGACCCGUCUUGAAACACGGACCAAGGAGUCUAACAUCUACGCGAGUGUUCGGGUGUCAAACCCGUGCGCGAAGUGAAAGCGAACGGAGGUGGGAACCCUUACGGGUGCACCAUCGACCGAUCCUGAAGUCUUCGGAUGGAUUUGAGUAAGAGCGUAGCUGUUGGGACCCGAAAGAUGGUGAACUAUGCCUGAAUAGGGCGAAGCCAGAGGAAACUCUGGUGGAGGCUCGUAGCGGUUCUGACGUGCAAAUCGAUCGUCGAAUUUG
rnacentral:rRNA from 1 species